rnacentral:rRNA from 1 species
UACGUAGGGUGCAAGCGUUGUCCGGAAUUAUUGGGCGUAAAGAGCUCGUAGGCGGUCUGUCGCGUCUGCUGUGAAAACUCGGGGCUUAACCCCGGGCCUGCAGUGGGUACGGGCAGACUAGAGUGCGGUAGGGGAGACUGGAAUUCCUGGUGUAGCGGUGAAAUGCGCAGAUAUCAGGAGGAACACCAGCGGCGAAGGCGGCACUCUGGGCUGGAACUGACGCUGAGGAGCGAAAGCGUGGGGAGCGAACAGG